CUAAGGGAGAAAAAUGGUACUGAGAGAGUGCCAAAUAACAGAAUUUGUCCUUUACUGUGUGACUAGUAAAGCUAACAAGGUUUUCCCAAAAUCAGCAAGGAAGGAAGAGCCUAAAUCAUAUAGUGCUAGGUUAAAGAUUUUGGCCUCUGUCAUAAGAAGAAUGUGAAAACCUAAAAGGGCUUCAAACAAAGGGUCACCAACAGAAUUGCAUUUUUUUUUUAAUUACUACAACAGCACUGUGGGAAACGGAUUGAUUCAGAGCAAGAGGAAAUGCAGAGAGGCAGGAUGCCAUGCUGAUGAUUCCGUCCCCAAAGGUUGAAGUCUUGUCUGUCAUACCUUGAUGGAUGAAAAGAAAUCCAGGUUUGUUCUAUUCAACUGCCAUUCCACAAACAUUUUUGGAGGGAUAGUACAUGCCAGAGAGUGUUCCUCUAUAGCCGAAGAUAAAGAAAUUAAGGAUAUUGUAUGCUCUGAUGUUAUUCCUGAUGUUAUUCCUUCAUCUAGAAGAUCCUUGCUAACUUAGAUUUACUACCUAAGGCAAACCUCACAAGCAAAGCCCCCACAGGCGGACCCGCUGGGAAACAAGGCUCAGCCUGGGGAGGUAAACAGCGCUCUCCCAUGGCCUGCUGGGCUGUUACUUGAGACAUUCAGUAAAGGAGACACUUCGGGGCUACCAGCAUGAUUUUACUCAUGAAGAGGUGAAAAUCUUCUCAAAGGAGAGCUCAGGAUAAGUUUUCUGAGACUUUGGAUAUCAGAAUUGCAGAUAAGAGGAGAUUGGGGACUUCAAUUAAUAUUAGAAUGAAGAGAGGGGACUCUAGUAUUCAAUUCAGGAACAGAGAAGAAAUAGAAAUAUUCCAGGAC